rnacentral:sRNA from 1 species
UGGACAGCCCUGGAGAAUGAAGUCCUUAAUUUAUCCACUAAACAGGUGCAGCUUGGACAGCAGCACUGCAAGCUUCCAUCCCACCAAAACAGCUAUCUGGUUCAACUCUGACCUGGAGGGACGCACCAUGGACAUUUCAAAUCAUUGGUCCCU